GGCGAGGUAGCUCAGUUGGUUAGAGCGCAGGAUUCAUAACCCUGAGGUCGGCAGUUCAAAUCUGCUCUUCGCUACAA
rnacentral:tRNA from 2 species